rnacentral:misc_RNA from 1 species
GAAAUCAUGGAUGGAAGAACAUAUUACGACCAAUGGAAAGGUACCACCGGGUAAUGAACCUGGAAAUUCAACAUGGGUACGUCAGCCUCCAAAGAAGAAGGCUGAUCUAAGGUUAACACCAGGCCGUAACGUACAGUUGACAGUGCCCUUGGAGGACCUUAUUGACCGGCUAGUGAAGGAAAACAAGGUGGUUGCUUUCAUUAAAGGGUCAAGAAGUGCACCACAAUGCGGGUUCUCACAGAGAGUGGUAUCCAUUCUCGAAAGUGAAGGUGUUGAUUAUGAAAGUAUCGAUGUCCUUGAUGAAGAGUACAACUCCGGAUUGAGGGAAACGUUGAAGAACUAUAGUAACUGGCCUACAUUUCCACAAAUUUUUGUGAAGGGUGAGUUGGUUGGUGGAUGUGAUAUCUUGACUUCCAUGUAUGAGAAGGGUGAACUUGCCAGCUUGUUCAAAAGCUAAAAAUGUUUUAAUUAGCAGUAAAAAGUGUAAGCUUUAUUGUGAGAAUUACAUUUCUUUGAACUUAUUUACUCAUCAGUGUAU